CAACUUGUGCCACGCCCUAUACUUUCCAGGAUCACGUUUUAAUCAUGUGAUCUUGUUUUGCACGUGGCUAGCUUAAAUGAAAUCAAUUGAGAAGUGAGGAUAGUUGAAAAACCGUGAAAAAUUCAAUAACUUGGAAAGUCAUGAGUGGAACCUCCAGUGGAUUGAGUGGAACUAUUGAGAAGCCAUUUUUAUCUUUAUUGAAGAGCUAUAAAGUCUCCUCUGCAACGUGACGUUCUGCAGGAGGAGCAAAUACUUUCCCUGGAAACUUUUAUUUCGUUAGAGGAGGAACAUUUUUCUUUACUUGCCAAGAAGUUGAGAGUUGGGCAGCAUGCUAUUUUGCGACGUUUGUGGUGCCAUAAGAAACCUUUUUCUUGCACUGACCCACCUCUUGGCUCUCCUUCCUCUCUUUCAUCAUCAUCAAGUGGACGUUGGCAGAGAUCACUGUCCCCGGCUCCUAUAAAUGUACCAGAUGACUCACUUCAGGAAAGUAUAACGGAAUUGGCUGAUAUGUAUAAACAGCGCCAAUCACAAUCAGUAAAUAGUGAGACCAAAGGCCAAAGGAUG